rnacentral:rRNA from 1 species
AAAUCAGUUAUCGUUUAUUUGAUAGUACCUUACUACUUGGAUACCUGUGGUAAUUCUAGAGCUAAUACAUGCUAAAAACCCCGACUUCGGAAGGGGUGUAUUUAUUAGAUAAAAAACCAAUGCCCUUCGGGGCUCCUUGGUGAUUCAUAAUAACUUCUCAGAUCGCAUGGCCUUGCGCCGGCGACGGUUCAUUCAAAUUUCUGCCCUAUCAACUUUCGAUGGUAAGGUAUUGGCUUACCAUGGUUUCUACGGGUAACGGGGAAUUAGGGUUCGAUUCCGGAGAGUUAGCCUGAGAAACGGCUAACACAUCCAAGGAAGGCAGCAGGCGCGCAAAUUACCCAAUCCUGAUACAGGGAGGUAGUGACAAUAAAUACUGAUACAGGGCUCUUUUGGGUCUUGUAAUCGGAAUGAGUACAAUUUAAACCUCUUAACGAGGAACAAUUGGAGGGCAAGUCUGGUGCCAGCAGCCGCGGUAAUUCCAGCUCCAAUAGCGUAUAUUAAAGUUGUUGCAGUUAAAAAGCUCGUAGUUGAACCUUUGGCCUGGCUGGUAGGUCCGCCUCACCGCGUGCACUUGUCCGGCCGGGCCUUUUCUUCUGGAGAACCGCAUGCCCUUCACUGGGUGUGUUGGGGACCAGGACUUUUACUUUGAAAAAAUUAGAGUGUUCAAAGCAGGCCUUUGCUCGAAUAUUACAGCAUGGAAUAAUAAAAUAGGACGUGCGGUUCUAUUUUGUUGGUUUCUAGGACCGCCGUAAUGAUUAAUAGGGACAGUCGGGGGCAUCAGUAUUCAAUUGUC